UCCCAUGUGGUCUAGUGGUUAGGAUUCCUGGCUCUAGCCAGGGUUCGAUUCCCGGCAUGGAAA
rnacentral:tRNA from 1 species